rnacentral:rRNA from 1 species
GUGAGGAAUAUUGCGCAAUGGAGGCAACUCUGACGCAGCCAUGCCGCGUGCAGGAAGAAGGCGCUACGCGUUGUAAACUGCUUUUAACCGGGAAGAAACCCCAGGACGUGUCCUGGGUUGACGGUACCGGAGGAAUAAGCACCGGCUAACUUCGUGCCAGCAGCCGCGGUAAUACGAAGGGUGCAAGCGUUAUCCGGAUUCAUUGGGUUUAAAUGGUGCGUAGGCGGAGCGUUAAGUCAGUGGUGAAAUCCUGCAGCUUAACUGUAGACUUGCCAUUGAUACUGGCGCUCUUGAGUGCGCUUGAAGUGGGCGGAAUGUGCCGUGUAGCGGUGAAAUGCUUAGAUAUGGCACAGAACACCAAUUGCGAAGGCAGCUCACUAAGGCGAUACUGACGCUGAGGCACGAAAGCGUGGGGAUCGAACAGGAUUAGAAACCCUGGUAGUCC